ensembl:lncRNA
CUAGAAGCCACCCUAGAUGGUCUAUCCGGGCUCCUCAGCUGUGAAGAGAAUAGAGGACCAGGGAGGCCAGCAAAUUCCUUACGGUCAGGCGCUUCACAGGAGAACAAAAGAGCUUCCCUCAUUCAGUAGAUGUGUUUGCUUCUGCUGCAGAGGGAUUCCAGCCUGACUGGGGAAGAGAUCCUCCUGGUGUGACUGCAAAGCUCAGGGCUGAUACAGAGCUUUGAGAUGAGUAUCUGUACCUUAAGGCAACAGAAGAAAAACAAGAGAGUCAAGCACAACCCAGAGAUCCAGUGCCAAAUGAAUCAGUAUGUAAAUUAUCUGCAGUGACGACUCACCUCAAGACAAGCCCAAAGAUCCCCCUGCAGGGAUCUUCCACACCCAGGGACUGAACCUACGUCUCUUACAUCUCCUGCAUUAGCAGUAUCACUCAGCUGAGUUGACUUCUCAGUAUGUCUGCUAUUGCCGACGGUUCUGAGAGAGCAGUGCAAGAGACAGACGAGGAGAAAAGGACUCUAUGACAUGGACGAGGUCAGAGAAGACGUCUGCCUCCCAGAACCAAAGUGCAGAAAUGGUGAUUCUGGUUCAUGACAAGAAUGACGAGUUCUUAUCGGCAGAGCAAUCAAGCAAGAUGCCAUCGUGCUCACUGGACCAAAAUUGCAGCUUUGAUUGAAAAAUUAUAUAGAGGACUUUUUGAGCCAUGCCAAGAACCCCUUUCCCAUUUUAGUGUCACCAGUGGUUAGUUUGCUUAUUACGUGUGACAUCAUUUUUUAAAAGCCACGAAACCAUGCAAAGAAUAGAAAGACCAUAAUAUGAACCAAGGGGAUACCACUGCUCAAAAAGCAAAAAUGCUAGUGCAUUAAACAUGUCCUCUGCAUGGGCAGAGGAGCCCAGUGGGCUACAGUCCGUGGGGUCGCAAAGAGUCAGACAUGACUGAGCGGCUAACACACUGCAGGGAUUAAAAAGAGUAAACUAUUUGAAACCGAAUGAAUGUGAUUGGAAUAUUUCUACAUGUCUUUUCGCUCCAACUUUUUAUUUUGAAAAAUUGAAAAUGUACAGAAAAUUGCAAGUACAUGCGUAUGCCCUUAAUGUUGGUGGUGUUGUUUAAUUACUCAGUCAUUUCCAACUCUUUUUACAACCCCAUGGACUGUAACCUGCCAGGCUCCUCUGUCCACGGGAUUCUCCAGGCAAGAAUCCCACUGGAGUGGGUUGCCAUGCCCUCCUCCAGGGGAUCUUCCUGACCCAGGGAUUGAACUGCAUCUCCUGCACUGUCCCCUGCAUUGCCAGGCAGGUUCUUUACCACUAAGCUACCAGCAAAGAUACAAAUAGGGUAUCCUCUAUCCAUAGUGGCUAUUUGGCACUUGGAAGCGACUAGUCCAUUCUGAGCUGUGCUGUUCUAUAUGCCUUUCUAAAAUUAAAUACUUUUUAGAGUUUUCUGAAAAGUGAAUAGAAUCUUGGCCCCUAAACCAAGCAGAUAAAAAUUAUAUAUAUAUGUACAACAUAUUAUAUAUACACAAAUAUACAUGGAUUUAUAUUAAUAAAUAUAAAGAACAUGUAUUUGUGUAUCUCUGAGUACAUAUGUUUCUCCAUGGAUCUAGUCUUCAUUUUCAGUAAAUCACUGAGAAAAAGGUGAUUGUUUAGAAAGGCAGGAUGAAAGGGUAGUCAUCCAGCUUUUAAAAUGUUAUUCAUGUUUCUCCUAAGGAGUAGAUAGAAGCUUGAUGAGAAUUUUAUUUAUUCUCACAUGAAGUAUAUAAUAAAGUAGAAAUAACAGAAUUUUUCCUUUUUGUAAAAUAAAAACAUAUAUCAAAAAUGGAAAAUUUAAACACCAAGACAAUGGUGAUAGUGAUUUUACAAGAGUUUAGAUCUAAAACUUAUCUGUUUGAAAUACUUUUUCUUCCUUCUCCUGCUCCAAUGCAAGCUGAAACAUAAAUAUAGAAUUGUUAAAUUCAUUUGUAACGUGGUCUAAAUCCAAUAUUCAAUAUUCAAAGAUUCAAUACACUGUUGGUAAAGGGGGCUUCCCAGGUGGCGCUAGUGGUAAAGAACCUGCUUGCCAAUGCAAGAGAUGGAGAUUUAAGAGACAUGGCUUUGACCUCUGGGUUGAGAAAAUCCCUUGGAGAAAGGCACGGCAACCCACUCCAGUGUUCUUUCCUGGAGAAGCCCUUGGACAGAGGAGCUUGAUGGGCUAUGUUCCGUAGGGUCACUAAGAGUUAGAUGUGACUUAGCAAGCAUGCAGUUACAUGCCCAAAGGAAUGCUGUUUGCUUCUAAUUAAUCCCUCUCUUUGCAAGAUGAUUCUUUCACGCUUUUUUUUUAAAGCAUACUUUUAUUACUAUCCACGGAAGUUUUAUGUCAUGCUUCUGGGUAAGUAGAUUUGAACCUGACAAACUUGUUUAAAACCAAACAGGAUGAUAAGAUUGAUAAAACUGCCUGUAUUAAUCUGCUUAGGCUGCCAUAAUAAAAUGUCAUAGAUUGAGUGGUUUACACAACAGAGAUUUAUUUCCCACAAAUCUGGAGGCUGGAAGGCUCAAGAUCGAGGUGCUGUCAUGGUAGGUUUCUUUCUGAGGUCUCUUCUUUAGGUUGUAGGGGUCUGCCUCCUGGCUGUGUGCUCACUUGGCCUUUUGGUGUGUAAGCUUGAAGAGAAAAAGAGAGAGAGAGAGAGAGAUUUCUCUUCUUAUAAAGCUACUAGUCCUAUCAGAUUAGGGUCCCACCUAACAUUUGAGUUUAAUUUCCUCCUGAAGAGGAUGAGAUGGUAGGAUGGCAUCACUAACUCAAUGGACUGAGUUUGAGUAAUCUCUGGGAGUUGGUGAUGGAUAGGGAAGCCUGAUGUGCAUGACUGAGUGACUGAACUGACCUGAACUGAAGUCCUCCUGAAGACUUAUCUCCAAACAUAGCCAGUUUGGGGAAUAUGAUUACAACAUGUCAAUUUUUGAAUGAUACAGUUCAGUCCACAGCACUAUCUGAAUUUUUGACCCUCCAAAAGGCACUAGUCAUUAAAAAAACAAGGCCAGUUCCAUGCAUAUGUUUGUUUAUGGCAAAGCGAAAAUAUGUUAUGAUAUGCCAGUGUUGUUUGAGAAAAUAUUCUAACCACUUCUCUUUUAGCUUUAAAUCAAUAAGGUAAGAUAUUUGUUUUGCGGGAAACUUGAAAAAUGGAGAAAAAAUGAAGAAAAUUGAAACUAUAGUAUAUUAUCAAAACUCUCUGAGAAGCGUUUUUGAGAGUGAAAGAAAGUGAAAGCGAACGUGAAAUCGUUCAGUUUUGUCUGACUCUAUUGUAGCCCACCAGGCUCCUUCUCUGUCCAUGGGAUUUUCCAGGCAAGAAUACUGGAGUGGGUUGCCAUUUUCUUCUCCAGGAGAUCUUCCCAACUCAGGGAUCGAACUCAGGUCUCCUGCAUUGCAGGGAUACUCUUUACCCUCUAUGCCACCAGGGAAUUUUGACAGUACCUUUUCUAAAUAUAUAUAAAAUAUAUACGUUUAUUUCUAAAUAUAUAUAACACAUAUUUAUAUAUCUUUCUCAAGCUUGGAAUCAUAUAUAUGAGAAAUAUUACAUCAUGUUUUUUGUACUUAAAGUUUUAUCGUGAAAUUUUUUCAGAAAAAUAAUUUGGGAAAUUACUGUUGUUUUCAUUUUUCAUUGUUUUACAUGAGACCAUGGGUUUAUUCUUGUUUUCAUUUACUCAUCAUUGUGCAUAAAUAUUUGGUGCAAGUCUGAUUAUUUUCUCAGCAUAAUUCCCAAAGAGGAAAAUUACUAGGUCAGAAGAUGUCAAUAAUUUUUGAUACUUGACUCAUAUUGCUGAAUAGUUCUCCAGCAAUAUUGUAUCACAUGAAACUCUUACAUGAUAUUUGAGAGGAACAACUUCAUUUGCCAGCGCUAGUCAUUAUACUUAAAAACAUCUUUCUCAAUUUGUAAAGGAGUCUGAAUCUGGUUUCAUUUUGCAACUGAGAAUUGACUCUGUGUGUGUGUGUGUAUCAGACUUUUUCUCCAUUUGGAAUUGUCUAUUCCCAUUUUUGCCUGUUUUUCUUCUCAUGGAGUCUAAGUUUUCUUAGUCAUUUGUUUUUCCGUUGAUUUAUUAUUAUUCAACUGUUUGUCAUAUAACACCGCAGUUUAUUUUUGCCAGGUUUUCUUUAUAUUUGGCUGUAUCGGGUCUUAGUUGUGGCAUGCCGAUAUUUGUUGAGUCAUGUAAGAUAUUUUGUUGCCAUGCACAGACACUAACUGUGGUGAGUGGGUUCAGCAGUUGCUGCGUGCAGACUUAGUUGUCGUGCAGCACGUGGGUGGAAUCUUAGUUCCUCGACCAGGGAUUGAACCUGUGUCGCUUGCAUUACAAUGUGGAUUUUUAACUAGUGGACCACCAGGGAAGUCCCCUGCCAGGUUUUCUUUUGACACUUGAUUUUGUGUAUUUAUUUUAUAGAAAUUUUCACAACUGUAGCAAAUCUAUCGAUCUUAUCCUGCCUGGAAAUGAUUCUCAAAUUUAAUGUGCAUCACGAUCUCUUAGUGUUUUCACUAAAACACGGAUUUCUGGGCUCUACUAUCAGGGAGUAGUUUUCAAUAAUCUUUUGGUAUGGCCCUGGCAACCGUUUCAGCAGUAACCCAGCUAACUUUAAAUGAAGUAGUUAAUGAAUCAUACUGAGAAAUACUGCCUUGCAAUUUCUUACUUUGCAUUAAUACUUAGAUAAGGCUUCUCAUGAUAAUAUCACAUAUAAAUGAAAGUGUGAAAGUGUAGGUCACUAAGUUGUGUCCGACUCUUUGUGACCCAUGGACUGUGGCCCACCAAGCUUCUCUGUCCAUGGAGUUCUCCAGGCAAGAAUACUGGAGUGGGUAGCCAUUCCCUUCUCCAGGGGAUCUUUCCAACCCAGGACAGAACUGGGGUCUUCUGCAUUGCAGGCAGAGUCUUUACCAUCUGAGCCACCAGGGAAGGCCAAUAGCUAUCUGUAUUUUCUCCUGUUUUCUCAUUUAGCCACUUUUCUGCAUCAAUCUACUUAGUACUGCUGGAAUUUAUGUUACUAUGUGUUGUAUCCCAAAACAUUGAACCAUUUUCCUAGCACAAUUCAUUGAACAGCAACACGUUUCCUCAAUAAUUUAUAAUUCCAAUGUAUCCUUUACUACAAUUUUAUAAAUAUUUGAGCCCUUUGCUGUGCAUGUUUUUCUGUCCCACUGAAAUGUCUAUUCUGGAUACUGUUUUCAUUACUAUAUAUUUUUAAUGUAACUGUUACUAUGAAAAAUAUCCUGUUCUCAGGAUUCUUCUUACUCAGAACUAUUUUGGCAAUUCUUACCUGUAUAAUUUUAAAACAAUCAGUUUGUCAUAUUAAAAUAAUUUUUGAAAGUUUAUUGGAGCUAUAUUUAAUAUAUAAUAUAUAUAUAUAUAUUUUAUAUCACAUCUGUGCAGCAUUAUAGCUUCUCACCUAAAACUAAGCCCCAAAGGUCACACUUACUAAUACUAUCAUCUUUGGGAAUGAAGAUUUCAACACAUGAAUUUUAGGGGAUAGAAACAUUCAGAUUAUAGCAACCAUAAAGGAAGCUUUGCAACCUGUAUGGAAACCCUUGUCUCUUUCCAGCCUCUUAUGGUUUGCUGGCCAACUUUGGUGUUCCCUGGCUUGCAGUUGUAUAAAUUCAAUUGUCAUAUGGCAUUCUCCUUAGUAAUGUAUAUGUGUAUAUAUAUAAUUAUUAAAACUUUAGAAAAUUAGGAUAUGUUUUUAUUAAUAUAAACUCCUAAGCUAUUCCAAUCAAUAUUAAAACAUGGAUACUGAUACAGGUUUGUGAGAUUUUCUCUGCGUAGUCUCACAUACAUACAUAUAUUCGUAUACAUGAAAAUAUAAAUUUUUUCAUGCUUUGUACUAUUUCCCAAGAUUCCUAAUACUCCACAGUUACUAAGGUAGGCAAUGUUGUCAUAAGACGUCACAAGAGGUCUGAAAUGAGACAAGCAUUUGAAGUCUAUGACCUAAUAUAUCUUUUUCCUUCAGAGUUUAGAAAAUGAUUUUAUUUUAUUUUUUCUGUGAUUGAGUAAAAAGCUGUUAAAAUUCUAUUUCCCUUCAAAAACUUCCAGUAUAAUGAAGACUUCUGAAAAUUUUAAAAUUUUCUCUGCCAAGCAGUUUCCCUGUAUUUAAGAAUUUAUGAGUAUGUGCAAUAUAUGUCCCCUCUAAAACACAAAUAGAAUAUAUUUUAUUAUUUAUUAAGAAAAAUUUUGAUUAAUUAAAUAGAUAUUAGAAUUGUACAUCGUUUUAAGGUUGUUUGAUUCAAAAGAGUAUUUGGUUUCAGUGAUAACUUGCAUUAUGAAAAUACUUCAAAAUGUGAUCUUAUUUCCUUCUCAUAAUCUCUCCUCAG